rfam:Felis catus isolate Cinnamon breed Abyssinian chromosome C1, whole genome shotgun sequence.
ACCUGGGUGGCUCAGUCAGUUAAGCGUCUGACUUCAGCUCAGGUCAUGAUCUCACAGUUCGUGGGUUCAAGCCCCGCAUCGGGCU